AUUAAAAAUGAUAUAUGUUCUAAAGUAAGUGAAAAAAAAAAUACAAUGACAUAGGUUGAUAAAUAUAGAAUUAUCAUUUUGCUAUAAGAAGGAUGUUUUGUAAUAGAAUAACAUGUUCUUAUUAUGUUAUGUGGUUUUAUGUUAUAAAUGAUGAACACUUGAAUUUUAGACAAUGAUUAUCAUUGUACAUGUGCUAAAACUCCCAUUUAAAUUUGAGCAAAUAAUUAUAUAAUAAAAAAGGAUAGUCAGUGGUCAAAAUAUAUUGAUAUAAAAUGUCAUAAUUUACCAACUACAAUUAGAGAACUAUAUAUAUAUAUAUAUAAGAGGGAGAGGGAAAUUAAUGGUUAGUGGAAGAAAAAUAGCUAAGGAAAGGUUUUAUGUGCACUUUUUAUGGUAAAAAAAAUGAAGUAAAAUAUCAAAAUUUGAAACUAUAGGAUCUAACAGCCCUUUAGAAAAAGAAUCAACCAAAUCAAUAAAUUCAUAUCGAUUCACAGAUUCAUUAUGGAAUCAUAAGAUUCGGUCAAGAUUCAGGUACAUU
rnacentral:misc_RNA from 1 species